rnacentral:rRNA from 1 species
UACGGGGGGGGCAAGCGUUGUCCGGAUUUAUUGGGCGUAAAGAGCGUGUAGGCGGCCAGACAGGUCAGCUGUGAAAACUCGAGGCUCAACCUCGAGACGUCGGUUGAAACCGUCUGGCUAGAGUCCGGAAGAGGAGAAUGGAAUUCCUGGUGUAGCGGUGAAAUGCGCAGAUAUCAGGAGGAAUACCGAUGGCGAAGGCAGGUCUCUGGGCUAUAACUGACGCUCAUGCACGAAAGCGUGGGGAGCAAACAGG